GUGACGGUACCUGCAGAAGAAGCGCCGGCUAACUACGUGCCAGCACCCGCGGUAAUAUGUAGGGCGCAAGCGUUGUCCUGAAUUAUUGGGCGUAAAGAGCUCGUAGGCGGUUUGUCGCGUCUGGUGUGAAAACUCAAGGCUCAACCCUGAGCUUGCAUCGGGUACGGGCAGACUAGAGUGUUGUAGGGGAGACUGGAAUUCCUCCUGUAGCGGUGGAAUGCUCAGAUAUCAGGAGGAACACCGCUGUCGAAGGCAGGUCUCUGGGCCACUACUGACGCUGAGGAGCGAAAGCAUGGGUA
rnacentral:rRNA from 1 species